rnacentral:misc_RNA from 1 species
GAUGAAGAAAGCAGCGAAAUGCGAUAAGUAAUGUGAAUUGCAGAAUUCAGUGAAUCAUCGAAUCUUUGAACGCACAUUGCGCCCGUCAGUAUUCUGGCGGGCAUGCCUGUUCGAGCGUCAUUACGCCCCUCAAGUCCCCUGUGGACUUGGUGUUGGGGAUCGGCGAGGCUGGUUUUCCAGCACAGCCGUCCCUUAAAUUAAUUGGCGGUCUCGCCGUGGCCCUCCUCUGCGCAGUAGUAAAACACUCGCAACAGGAGCCCGGCGCGGUCCACUGCCGUAAAACCCCCCAACUUUUUAUAGUUGACCUCGAAUCAGGUAGGACUACCCGCUGAACUUAAGCAUAUCAAUAAGCGGAGGA